GGUCUGGAUCCGCUCUUGCCCAGCGAAUGCGACCCGGUGAUUUCCCCAUCCAUGUUCAGAGAAAUCAUGAACGACAUCCCCAUCAGGCUCUCUCGUAUCAAAUACAAGGAAGAGGCCAGGAAACUCCUGUUUAAAUAUGCAGAGGCGGCCAAGAAAAUGAUUGACUCCAGAAAUGCAACUCCUGACAGUCGGAAGGUGGUGAAGUGGAACGUCGAGGACACGAUGAACUGGCUGAGACGAGACCAUUCUGCCAGCAAGGAGGACU